UACGUAGGGUGCGAGCGUUGUCCGGAAUUAUUGGGCGUAAAGAGCUUGUAGGUGGUUUGUCGCGUCUGCUGUGAAAAUCCGAGGCUCAACCUCGGACUUGCAGUGGGUACGGGCAGACUAGAGUGUGGUAGGGGAGACUGGAAUUCCUGGUGUAGCAGUGAAAUGCGUAGAUAUCAGGAGGAAUACCGAUGGCGAAGGCAGGUCUCUGGGCUAGAACUGACGCUCAUGCACGAAAGCGUGGGGAGCGAACAGG
rnacentral:rRNA from 1 species